rnacentral:rRNA from 1 species
UACAUGAGUAGCAAACGUUAAUCAUGGUAGUUGGGUGUAAAAAAUACUUUGAUUUGAUUAAUAAAUGUUUAGUAUAUAUAUUUAUAAAUCGAAAAAAUUUAAUAAAUUAUUUAUUUUUGUAAAAAGUUAAAGAUAAAAUUUCUUAAUUUUUUAUUAAAGCCAAUUGAUGAAAAUAAUGUAAUAAUUAAAUUUUGUAUUUAGGUAUGAAAGUAUGGGAACUGAAAAGGAUUAGUGACCCUUGUAAACCAUACUGUAAAAUAUAAGUAUUAACAAAAUUUAUUUGUAAAGCUAACGCGUAAAUACUUUACCUGGGUAGUACAACCGCAAGGUUUAAACUUAAAAAAAUUGGCGGGACCUAAUUUAAUGGUGGAGCAUGUGAUUUAAUUCGGUAAUCCUCGCAAAACCUUACUAACAUUCUAUUAAUUUAAUUAAAUAUUUUAUAUAUAUGUUAAUAUAAUUAAUUUGAGUACUGCAUGGCUGUCGUCAGUUCGAAUUGUAAAACGUAAAAUUAAGUUUUAAUAACGAACGCAACCCUAAAUUUAUUUAUAUAAUUUUUAUAAUUCAAAAAUAUUUGAAUUAUAUUAGGAUGAGGGCAAGUCUUUACGAUCUUUAAAUGUUAGGCUAUACAUUUGUUACAAUGAAAAAAACAAAGAAUUUUUUAUAGUUAAUUAUAAAGAAUUUCUAAAAAUUUUCAUAGUUCGAAUUAUUUAAUAAAACUUUUAAAUAUGAAGGAGGAAUCAUUAGUAAUCGUAAAAUAGUACGUUACGGUGAAUAUACACAUUAGGUUUGCACACACCGCCCAUCACGCUCGAAAAGUUCUUUGAAUUAAAAUUAAAUUAUAUCGAGUAUUAAUUUAUAUUGAUGUUUUAAUUUAGAUUUAAGGGGUGAUUGGAGUGAAGUUG